rnacentral:rRNA from 1 species
GGUUUGACGGUACCUAUAAAGGAAGCACCGGCUAACUCCGUGCCAGCAGCCGCGGUAAUACGGGGGGUGCAAGCGUUGUUCGGAAUUAUUGGGCGUAAAGCGUGUGUAGGCGGUCUGAUUAGUCUGAUGUGAAAGCCCUGGGCUCAACCCAGGAAGUGCAUUGGAUACUGUCAGACUUGAAUACGGGAGAGGGUAGUGGAAUUCCUAGUGUAGGAGUGAAAUCCGUAGAUAUUAGGAGGAACACCGGUGGCGAAGGCGGCUACCUGGACCGAUAUUGACGCUGAGACGCGAAAGCGUGGGUAGCAAACAGGAUUAGAUACCCUGGUAGUCCACGCCGUAAACGAUGAGAACUAGGUGUCGCGGGUA